GUUGGGAAAAAACACAUCCAUUUCUCGCCAACCGAGGCGGUUGCAUCGAAAGAUACAUUCUUGUGUAUUCUGGUCAUCAUUUCAACCAAUCGUUAUAAACUUAAAACCAAUUUAUCAGCGAAGGAGGUGAAGCAUCCGAUUCACGCAGACGCUUUCGGUUAGAUUCUAAAAGAAUAAAGCUUUUGAGGCGAAACGUUUGGCGCCAUCUUGGAUUUUUGGAAGGAGUGCACGAAGACAAGCUCACUAAGCAGAGAACUCUGCAAGACUACUGGGGAAAGGACAUUUCUGAGUUAGAGAAAAAGUCAAGGGCUUUGAAGACUUUAUGACAAGAGCUCAGAUAGCACUGUGGUCUGCUAAGUCCGUUGGACUAGAAGUUGAGUCUAUUGCCACGAAAGAAGUCAAGACUGGAAGCAAACACAAUGCAAAAAUGGUCAGUGAUGAGCAACAAGAAAACACUGCUACAGGGCUUGACUCCCUUUUAAAAGAGGAAAAGGAAAAAUUGGAUCAAAUUUUAUUUCUUUUAGACAAAUUUUUUGUAGGAGACUUGUUUUAUCAUGAGCUCUCCAUGAUUAAUGAUGAUCUUCCAAAAUCAUAUCUAAUCAAGCAAUGGCAUGACAUGAGCCAUAUUAUAUCCACACCUGGGAGAGCUGAGGGUGCUGAAGUUUCAUUCAAGAACUUCUCAAGGAAAGAGUGCAAGAUUUAAUUAACCAAAAUCCAGAAUUUGAUUUUGAAAAUGAAAGAGUAAAGGUUAAAAUAUCAGGGGAUGGGGC